GCCUUCUUAGCUUAGUGGCAAAGCAGCGGUAUCGUAAACCGCGGACGACAGUUCGAUUCUGUCAGAAGGCU
rfam:Microgenomates bacterium GW2011_GWF1_44_10 TW18_C0003, whole genome shotgun sequence.